AGCCACUUAAAAUUAGUUAUAUACGGAGAAGCUGUUUUGCGGUGCCCACUAAACCAUCGACGCGCUUAUCGGUUUUUUGCGAGAACGCGGUUGAGAGGAAGCUUACACGAGUUCAGCAGCUAGUUGCUGGUGCAAAACCUUAGCCAGUCCCUGCAGAAUCGCCGGGUUGGAAAUGGCGUUCCCAAGGAGCCCUGCUUCCACCGUGAGCAGCUAUGCUUCUACUCCGACGCUGAGUAGCUGCCCCAGCUCCUCCAUCUCCACAGGCUGCAGCACCCCUGCCACCCCAAACCCCUUUGCCGUCGCGGCAAUAAGCCCCACCCCAAUCCAGCACAUAGUUCCAGCCGGACGUGCCGGUGAUCACAAGCCGGCGCUAGCAGCCACAGGAACUCCUGAAUUCACACAGGGAAAGAAGCUUCAGCAGCAUCAGGAUCUUCUGGAAUCAGCAGCGAAGUUCCCUAAGCAAGAAAACCCAGCACUAGCAAUCACAGGAGGUACGGAAUUCAUACAGGGAAAGACUCUUCAGCAGCAUCAGGAUCUCCUUGAAUCAGCAGCGAAGUUCCCUAAGCAAGAAAUCAAUGGCUGGGAGCAUCCAGACCUCUGUUCACCAUCAAAGCUGCUCAAGAACGUAAGUACUUCUAUCAAGGAGAUCGGUCGCUGGGCAAGAUCUUCAACGGGGUUAAAGGUGAACUCAAAUAUCCGGCUCUUGGAGUCGGUAUUUUCCUUGAUACAAGUGGUAACUUCGACAGCACCACACCCAGAUCACGUGGUUGCUAUGAUACGAGUCCACGAAGCGCUUGCUAACCUGUUGCUGGUCCUGCCCAAGAAUAUAUUCCCUUUCCUGUUGCAACAUUUCGCUCAGUUUGUAGAUGAGUUAUGCCCGAAAAGAGGUGCAUCACUAUCAGAAAGGUUUGGAAACGCACUGCAUGAUUUGCGAAGAAGCAUAAGGAGGGGCCUUCGAGUACUCAAAGACAUGAUCUUUGACUAUAAAUCUGACGUAGUCCCCCAAGGUGGCGGUAUCCAUGAGAUCACCAGAUACUUGUUAAAAUACAUCAUGUCACUUCUGGACAAUGGCACCUCUCUCAAGAUCAUACUUGUUGGUGAUGAACAGGAUGACAAGGUUGCAAUGGAGACGCUGCAAGAUACUGUUGCUACCUUGAUCUCUCACAUGGAAAUUAUGCUUGAGAAAGAAUCUCAUCGAUAUAAAGAUGCAGGGUUGAAACAAAUGUUCAUGGUGAAUAAUGUGAACUUUUUGUUGCAUCAAGUAGAAGGCUCAGAGAUAAGGAAUCUUCUAGGAGAUGAUUGGGUUCUGAAGCACCGAGACCAACUAAAGGACCACAUCUCAUCGUUCAUCAACAUUUCUUGGGAAUCUGUCAUGUAUUGCUUCCAUGUAAAGACCAACAAAAUCCCAAUCUUUUCUAGCCUACCAACACUGCAAAUAUUUAACAUGGAAUUUGAGAAAACUUACUGGACUCAGAAGACAUGGAAAGUUGAAAAUCCUCUGCUCCGGUCCAACAUGCGUAAAUCAGUAUCAGAGAAGCUUGUUCAGGCUUACAGUGCAUACCUUGAGAAUCACAAAAACAAGUAUCAAAGGCUUAUGAAGUACACCAUCGAAGAUCUUGAAGAGCUGCUGUCAGAUCUGUUUGAAGGAUAAUGGUCAUAGCUAGAAAGAGGACGAAGCGCAGAUGCAUGUUAAAAAUACUAGUGCAACACGUCUGAAGGAUAAAUAAUCCCUUGAGCUAGGAUGAAGAUCAGAAGCAUGCCCUCAAAGCUUGUGGAGUAAAUAUCGAACUGUAACUGGCAUAUCCUUGAUAUGUUAGGAUUGAACUGUACCUGAGAUUUUGCAGACCAGAAGGUACAUAUAACUUUAUUGCCACCUCUGCUCCAAAAUAGAUGCCACUUGGACAAUGACAUGGUUCAAAGUAUAUACCUAUGAGACUUUGCUAUUUUUGACUAAACUCUCAUAAGGAUGCUCCAACUUAAAUGGAAUAGGACCUAUAAACUGUCAAGUAUUUGUAAAAUACUGGAGCACCAUCCGGUUGGCCUAUAUUUUACCAAGCUCUUUUCCAUGCAGCCUGGUUAGCUCAACCCCCUUCAUCAGCAACAGAGAUGAACUUCAGAUUGACGAGAGAAGUUAUCCUCUUCGGUUGAUGCCUGUACUGCAAAUAUUGCCACUAUUCCUCACCAAGAAAUUUGCUGCACAUUAAUUGGGUGCAACUCUCCAGAAACUGCCUUAAUGCCUAUGCACAAAGGAAACGAAGAGGACAUUACUUCAAACACUUUAUGCACAUCUGUCACCAGUGGGUUCCUCUGAGUCUUUAUUUGACACUGAAUUACUUGGCUUACUACGCUUCGACAAUGAUUUUCUGUAAAGGAAGUGCAGUGGACAGUUUCAGACAAGUGUGUGUACAUACCAAUCACACAGUCAUUCUAUAUGAUCUUUGACUUAAUAAAAAGGAGAGUUCUGAGGAAAACAUCGACCUCUUUGUGGACUUCUUGGCAGCAGCUACACCCAUCUUCGUCUUCGACUUGUCAAAAUCAGUUGAUCCCUCAUGCAUGGCACUAUAGUUGUGCAUAUUGGUUUUAGUUUCUGUUGCGGCUGCCUCCAUCCUUUCGGAAGCUUGGAAUUUGAGUUUUAACUCUUCCUUCCUCAUUGUAUGGGUAUUGAACCUACUUGGCUGAGAUUCCCUAAGAAUACCCUUCAAUAGAAACAUGACAACGCCAGGAUUCAGGAACAAACAAGAGAAAAUAUGAUAAUAGUAUUACGGCAAGCUGCAAGCAUCAUGCAAGUAAAUGUAAACCAGCGAUUUGCACUCUGAGGAAGAAGACAUGCCAGUGCCACCAUGUAAUUGGAAAGGUUGUCAUGCUUCAUAGUCAACACACACGGAAGCAGUCAGAGACUGCGCGACCAGAUAUGAACCUCUAGCGCAACCUUUAAAAAGUUUAAAUGGAUGAAUAUGUGGUUACAAAGUCCAUGGAUCUAAGUGACUGAGUUGAAGGACGAUGGGUGCAUUUUACUCAUUGGAGGACCAGCUCAAGGAUUAGGUCAUGGUUUUCUUUAAAUUAUUACCUAUGCAAACCAGUGAUGUACAGUCCGAUCCAAAAUAGGGUGUUCGAGAAUAGUUACUGAAAGCCAUUUAAUCUUAUGUUACUUACAUUUUGAAUCACUUGUUCCCUGCAGCAUUUUGUGGGAGUUACUGCAAAAGUUCCUGUAUUACUCACAAGUUAUAUAUAGU
rnacentral:rRNA from 1 species